GAUGAACGCUGGCGGCGUGCCUAAUACAUGCAAGUCGAGCGAACGGACGAGAAGCUUGCUUCUCUGAUGUUAGCGGCGGACGGGUGAGUAACACGUGGAUAACCUACCUAUAAGACUGGGAUAACUUCGGGAAACCGUAGCUAAUACCGGAUAAUAUUUUGAACCGCAUGGUUCAAAAGUGAAAGACGGUCUUGCUGUCACUUAUAGAUGGAUCCGCGCUGCAUUAGCUAGUUGGUAAGGUAACGGCUUACCAAGGCAACGAUGCAUAGCCGACCUGAGAGGGGAAGCGGCCACACUGGAACUGAGACACGGUCCAGACCCCUACGGGAGGCAGCAGUAGGGAAUCUUCCGCAAUGGGCGAAAGCCUGACGGAGCAACGCCGCGGGAUUGAUGAAGGUCUUCGGAUCGUAAAACUCUGUUAUUAGGAAAGAACAUAUGUGUAAGUAACAGUGAACAUCUUGCCGGUACCUAAUCAGAAAGCCACGGCUAACUACGU
rnacentral:rRNA from 1 species